rnacentral:rRNA from 1 species
ACGGAGGUCCCAAGCGUUGUUCGGAUUCACUGGGCGUAAAGGGUGCGUAGGUGGUUGAGACAGUUUGAUGUGAAAGCUCCGGGCUCAACCCGGAAAAUGCAUUGAAUACUUCUUGACUAGAGGAUCGGAGGGGAAAGUGGAAUUCUUGGUGUAGCAGUGAAAUGCAUAGAUAUCAAGAGGAACAUCAGUGGCGAAGGCGACUUUCUGGACGAUUCCUGACACUGAGGCACGAAGGCUAGGGGAGCAAACAGG